AGUCCUUUCUAUAGAGAAUUUCUGGAGCUGCACAACAUGGAAUUUUAGUCCAACUCUAGAGAUUACAUGCAAUGUUGGUUCUUGCUGAAACCAGAGCGCCAGGGGCCUCCUUGUUCUUCAGUCGUCUUGUAUCAUGGUUACGCUUGCUGGCAGCUGGAGCAGUGUUCAGAGGUACACUCUCCCAAUUGUCCCGUGAUGAAAGAUUGGAAUAGAAGCCAAAAUCCAAGAGCAGAAACUCAGUCAGAAGUUGGCGUUUUGCCUGUGACUUGGUGGACCUGUUAAAUAACUUUUGAGGAAAAACAGAUUCCAACUAUAUCAAACAUAGUAGAAGAGUAAGUUCAGAAAACAGUGUUCCUGGUUUGGUAAAAGUCCAUGAGCACUGGCUCUGUCCAUAAAUGGGUUGAAAGCAAUGAAGAGCUGGAAGGAGUAGGUGUUUUCAAUCUUUCUUGUUGAAAACCACUAGUGGAGACAAAGAACAAGGACAAACACAAUGUACCUAUGUUACAAUUCGUGGAUUUGUACCAAUUUCUUUUUCCUUAAAUAAUUUUUUAAAACUUACUUUUAAUUGGAGGAUUCAUUGCCCCAGCCUACCUCAUCACACCCGUCUAGGUUGUCACAGAGUAUUGAGCUGAGCUCCCUGUGUUAUACAGCAACUUCCAAACAGCUACCUGUUUUACAUAUGAUAAGGUAUCUGUUUCCAUGCUACGCGCUCAGUUUGUCCCACACUCUCCUUCCCCUGCUCUGUUCACAAGUCUGCUCUCUAUGUCUGUGUCUCUAUUCCUGCCCUGCAAAUAGGUUCCUCAGUACUGUUUUUCUAGAUUCCACAUAUAUGUGUUAAUAUACAAAAUCUGCUUUUCUCUUUAUGACUUACUGCACUCUGUAUAACAGGCUCUAAGUUCACCCACUUCACUAGAAUGUAUCAAAUAUUUUUCCACUCGCAUGUUCAUGUUAUGAUGGCUUUGUAGAUUGCAGGAACUAUAUAACCAAGUGCUGCAGUUCAAGGCCAGCUUGACUCUUCUAUCUCUUGGGGCUUAAGAACACAUUACAAAAUACCUUCUUGAAUAGAAAAUCAGCAACCUAGGGACUAGCCAGAGAUGGUUUCCCUGAUUUUUUCCUCUUUUCAUUCUUUGGCUAUACCCACUACAUUUGGCUAAAUGUAAAAAAAAUUAUUUUACCAUGGAAGACUCUUAUGUAGAUUCGGCAAUGAUAAAUAUUUGGAUGGUGCCUUUCUACCACUUUCAUGAGUUUCUAAAAGCCAUAUAUAUGAAGUUCUUCUGUGGAGAGUAUAAUUAUGUUUUAAUUAUAGAGAGAUGGAGUGAAUCAGGUUUGUUGAGUUUUAAAACAUUACAAAUCUGAUGAGUUAGUUUGUCCUUUCUGCAUUAACCGUGAAACAUGGGAGAAUAAUUUUUCUAAACUGUGUAUGCCAAUUGGAUGUUAUUUUCAACAGCUUUGCUUUUUUGAGAGCUAUAAUGAUUGUAUAAAAUUUGUAUCAUGAUAAAUGUAUCUGUAGAAAAGAAAAGAUUUAUAUAAUUUACAUGAGAUAUUGAAAUGUAUUAGAAUAAAUACAUAUACAAGAUGAUUUAAAGUUGCAGCAUAGUAUGAUAAAUCAGCAAACAUGUCUAUAAAAAUCCCAAAUGAUGAAACAAUAUUUGUAGUGUCUAUGAUUUACUUAGACUCUCUUUUAUGACUAAAAGCUCCAUAAGCUGCAUUAUGGGCAUAAAGAUCUAUCACUAUUCUGGAGGAUCUCAGAUGGGAAUCACCAUGGUAUCACUUUUGAUCACCAUGUAAAAAAAAUAUGUAGUGCCUUUUAGGUUGAAGUAGAAUUCUAAUGAAAGCCAGCUGUUAAGUUAUUUUCAAAAUAAAUGACUCCCCAGCUGGAGAAAUUGUCUCAAGAUAAUUAUCAGGUUAGAUGUCAUAAAGUGAACAAGACAUUAAAUAAGCAUUGUAGGCUAUAUUUGGAGUAGCUGUGACAAGCAUUUUCAAAUGUUUCUGAAUAGUCCAUACCAAACUCAUUCCAGAGAAUGCCCUUCUUAUACUGCCUAGACUUUGUAAGUUACAGUGGAAGCCAGUUCUAGUUCUCCUUUUCUCUUAGAGUCACAGAUCCCAGCGGACGGUCAGCUUGACAUUUUACUUUGUUGAAACAAGCUUGUCAAAUUAUUCUUAUGUUACAGUGGAAGAUAGUUGUUUCAUUUUGGGUAUAAUAUCAGUUUCAAAACAUUCUCAGAAAUAAGUAUCUGAAAAUUUUGAGGUGGUAUAAUAUUUUAUACCAAGCAAGUAGCUUGGUCUUAUAUGCCUUCUUUGUAAUCCAUUAAAUAACUAAAUAAAGAUCAAGGCUGUAAUUAGAACUUUCGCUAGCAAGUUCUAUUCCCUAAGGAAGAUAAUAGUUCAGUUGUAUAAGGCCAAAUGAAAAGCUUUCACUUUCUCAAAGUCUAAUUUUUCUCUCUUUCUCUGAAAGAUUCAGCGUUUGAGACACAUUGUAAUAGUAGAUUUUACAGCCAUAAGCAAAUCCUAAACCUGUAUAUU
rnacentral:lncRNA from 1 species